ACCAAAAAAAAAAAAAAAAAAAAAAUCCAACCCUGAUUUAUGAUUCGGCAUUUUCUACCGUCUGUGUUAUUUUCACCGCAAAGACAUGGCUCUGGCGAGUGGCGAAUCAAGGGCUUUUGGCGCGGGAAGGAUAAUGGGCUGCAUCUCUAGGGUAAUUGGUUCUCGAGUGAGGAGUUCAGAGAUGAGAAUACGGGCGGUGAUGAAGAAUACUCCACCGGAAGGAGUGGUGGAGAUGAUGAGGAGGGAGCCGUGGGAAGAGUAGUGCUUAGAACUGCCAGAAACAUCGCCGUAUUAGACUAGAGUUUCGCUAUAAAUUUGGUGGAAUUAAUCAGGAGACAUGGUGCCUAACAUCCUCAAACCAGUGAAAGGUCUGAUAUUUUAACUUUCUGAUUUGGGAUAUAUGGAUUUGGACUAAAUUUAAUAGGCCAAAAUCUCUCAAAUUCAAGUAUCCAACUAAUGGCACAUAUGAUGAAAGAAUUGAUAUUGUUCAAUAUGUAUUAAAGGGAAAGCUACUCGUAUAUGACUACCCAGAUCUUUUUGCUGGAUUUAAUAUCCUUACAGGUGUUGGAGAUUAUCCAUUGAAUCCUUCAAGAAAGUGCUCCGUUCCAAAGGAACUACUUUCUAGAGCAAUUGGCUUGUUUGACCAAUUGAAGAGCGUGCAGGAUGGGCGAUACGCCCUUCUAAUGGUAUAUGAGGAAUAUCAGAAAGGGAGAAUAUGCCGGGAGGAGGUGCUGGGAGAGGCGAGGUAUCUUUUCCUGUCACAUUAUGGGGUGGCAGAGCUGGCUGAGGGAUUGUAAAUGCAAAGCAGGAAAAGAGAUAUAUUUGCAGAAAUAUAUGGAAGGGGGGGAUGUUGUUGUUGUUGUUGUUGUUGUUGUUUUUUUUUUUUUUUUUUUUUUUUUUUUGGUAAUCUCUUUUUCCUGUGGCUUUGUUGAUGAGAACUUUCUAGUUAUUUGCCUAAGUUGAAAAGCAUGUACCCUGUAACUCAAAAUUACUCUUGAGGUUAUUUGCCAAUAGGCUUUUGGCAUUUGAAUUUGGAGCAGGGUUCAUUGA